rnacentral:rRNA from 1 species
CACGUAGGCGGUGCAUCAAGUGCGGAGUGAAAUCCCACGGCUCACCCGUGGAACUGCUCUGCAUACUGGUGUGCUCGAGGACGGUAGAGGAGAGCGGAACUCUUGGUGGAGCGGUGAAAUGCGUAGAUAUCAAGAGGAACACCGAAGGCGAAGGCAGCUCUCUGGUCCGUUUCUGACGCUGGGGUGCGAAAGCCGAGGGUAGCGAACG